ensembl:lncRNA
CGCGGCUCGGGCCCCGCUCCAGGAUGGGCGGCAGCAGAGCGGACAAAGGAGCUCAGUCUCUACAGGGGGUGGUGGGGGGUGGGGGGUCUUAUCCUCUCGGCUCAAACACACGCCACCAGCUGCUGCCCCCUUCCUGUGCUUUCAUUAAAACAGACUCCCUCCUGCUCCACUGCGUAAUCCAGACGGUUUACAGAAUGUGGAUGAGGUGUGUUUCGGGCGUGUGUGUGUGGCAUCCAUGUGUGUGUGGAUCUGGCAUGCAUGUGUGUAUGAGCACAGUAUGUGUAUGUGAGCAGUGUGUGUGGCACACAGUGCUGCGUGGAGGCCGGUUGAGGCACGGCGUGGUGCGGUGCAGAGCGAAGAGGGGAGACAGCUGCCCUGACAGAUGCCGGGAGGCAGAACCCCACUGGGGAGCAGGGGGAGGGAGCUGGCACUCUCUCACCCCAACGGAAACACCACAGGCUGCAGAGGAAGUGGGCAGGGGGACAAACCAGGGGACCCAGAGAGAGAGAGAGAGAGCAUGUAUGUUGAGGAGAUCUGCUUGUGUGCUUGUUCAUUUGAAAGAGUAAAUCCAUAUCACUGGUAUAUUAAUUUUGAACUCCAUUAUUAAUGGUAAAGCUAGUAUGUGACAUAAUUACUCAUAUCUUUUGCAGAAGUACAAAGCAUAGUAGCAGUGGUACUAAUACAGUAUUCAUAGCGGUAGAGGUAGUGGUAGAGGUUGUGGUAUAGGUAAUGGUAGAGGUACUGGUAGAAAUAUAAGUAGUCAUAGAGUUACAGUAGUGGUAGAGGUUGUGGUAGAGGUAGUGGUAGUGAUAAAGGUAGUGGUAGAGGUAGAGGUACUGGUAGAAAUAGAAGUAGUGGUAGAGGUUGUGGUAGAGGUAGAGGUUGUGGUAGAGGUAGAGGUUGUGGUAGAGGUAGAGGUUGUGUUAGAGGUACAGUAGUGGUAGAGGUACAGUAGUGGUAGAGGUACAGUAGUGGUAGAGGUACAGGUAGUGGUAGUGGUUGUGUUAGUGGUACAGGUAGAAGUAGUGAUAGUGGUAGAGGUGUAGGUAGUGGUAGAGGUAGUGGUAGAGGUACAGGUAAUGGUAGAGGUAGAGGUAUAGGUGUAGGUAGAGGUACAGUAGAGGUAGAGGUACAGUAGUGGUAGUGGUAUAGGUGUAGGUAGAGGUACAGGUACAGUAGUGGUAGAGGUAGAGGUGUAGGUAGUGGUAGAGGUAUUGAUAGAUGUAGAGAUAGUGUUAGAAGUAGUGGUAGAGGUAAAGGUAGAGGUAGUGGUAAAGGUACAGUAGUGGUAAAGGUAGUGGUAGUGGUAGUGGUAAAGGUAGUGAUAGAGGUAGAGGUGGUGGUAGUGAUUGAGGUAGAGGUACAUAAUUGGUAGAGGUAGUGACAGAGGUAGAGGUUGUGGUAGUGAUCGAGGUAGAUGCAGUGUUAGAGGUACAGUAGAGGUAGUGAUAGAGGUAGAGGUAGUAAUAGAGGGAGUGAUAGAUGCAGUGGUCGUGGUAGUGGUAGAGGUACAUUAGUGAUAGAGGUAGAGGUACAGUAGUGGUAGAGGUAGUGGUGGUGGUAGUGUUAGAGGUAGUGGUAGUGUUAGAGAUCGAGGUAGAGGUUGUGGUAGUGAUCGAGGUUGUGAUAGAGGUAGAGGUGGUGUUAGAGGUACAGUAGUGGUAGAUGUACAGUAGUGGUAGAGGUAGUGGUAGAGGUAGUGAUAGUGGUAGAGGUACAGUAGUGAUAGUGGUAGAGGUACAGUAGUGAUAAGAGGUAGAUGUACAGUAGUGGUAGUGGGAGAGGUAGUGAUAGAGGUUGAGGUACAGUAGUGAUAGAGGUAGAGGUACAGUAGUGGUAGAGGUACAGUAGUGAUAGAGGUAGAGGUACAGUAGUGAUAGAGGUAGAGGUACAGUAGUGAUAGAGGUACAGUAGAUGUUGUGGUAGUGAUCGGGGUAGA